CAUAGACAUCCUGCUCAGUACCCUUCAUGGCACUACAGGGAUUGUCAAAGCACCUGUUGGGACAUGGCACAAUUUGAGAUUGGGAUGCAUAAGUGUGGGGCAUGCAUGUGAGUCAACUGGAGACAUUUUUAUAUUGGUUUGUACCCCCAAAAGAGAUGGAAAGAGCAAAUAUGCA